GAUGAACGCUGGCGGCGUGCCUAAUACAUGCAAGUCGAGCGAACAGACGAGGAGCUUGCUCCUCUGACGUUAGCGGCGGACGGGUGAGUAACACGUGGAUAACCUACCUAUAAGACUGGGAUAACUUCGGGAAACCGGAGCUAAUACCGGAUAAUAUAUUGAACCGCAUGGUGCAAUAGUGAAAGACGGUUUUGCUGUCACUUAUAGAUGGAUCCGCGCCGCAUUAGCUAGUUGGUAAGGUAACGGCUUACCAAGGCAACGAUGCGUAGCCGACCUGAGAGGAUGAUCGGCCACACUGGAACUGAGACACGGUCCAGACUCCUACGGGAGGCAGCAGUAGGGAAUCUUCCGCAAUGGGCGAAAGCCUGACGGAGCAACGCCGCGUGCGUGAUGAAGGUCUUCGGAUCGUAAAACUCUGUUAUUAGGGAAGAACAAAUGUGUAAGUAACUAUGCACGUCUUGACGGUACCUAAUCAGAAAGCAACGGCUAACUACGUG
rnacentral:rRNA from 1 species